rnacentral:lncRNA from 1 species
ACGCAACAAACCACUCGGCGACGGCGAGAUCGGAAGAAUGAUUAGACUAAACUUAACUAAAAGUUUAUCCAAUAACUUCUUUAGAUGCCUAAAAUAAUCUUAACUAUUCCAACAAAACUCAGAUUAUAGAAACAAAAACUAGGACGAAUGAGCAACAUCAUAUUUAAAAUCUCUGGAAAAAAAAACAAUGUUAUAACAGAGAGAACCAGUAUGCUUCAUACAAUUUUGAACUACGCACACAAGCUAAUUACCCGGCAAACAUUUAACAAAGAAUAGUUGAAGCACGGAACUAAUUAAUAGAAUAGAAAUGGACCUUUCAGCUAAAGAGUCCUUUAUUAUUUUGGAAAGGAGAAUCUCACGAACAAAACGAUAUGUCAUCAAUUUACGACAGGACUCUCGCAAAAUGAACCGGAGCUGCAGAAUGGGAAUCUCGUCGGAGGCAACCUCAAGCACAGAAUUUCGACGGAAUUGAUGGAUGAUUCUGGAGCUAUUCCCUCGGUGACAAUGGCACAAGGAAGAAGCUGAACAUUGGCCUUUCAUGGCUGCAUUUUUAUGAGUUUGGUGCAGAAGUUUUCAUGGCUUCUCUAGUGAGCUCAACACAGAGAAAAGGAAAAAUGGAGUUCUGACUUGGGGUUUUUUUUUGCGGAGAUUAUGGUUAAGAAAAAGGUGAAGAUGAAGGGGUGUUGUUUUUGGUUAACGAAAACCAUGAAAAUGACUGCCUCUUCUCUUUGUGUAUUAGUGUUCAAGAUGCUGCUUCUUUAGCUUUUCAAUUGGGAUCCAACUGCCGUGAACUUAGG